GUAUUUCUCUACCUGUAUUUUCCUACCUUUACGUUCCUACCUUUCUUACCUGUCAGUUUACCUGUACGUUCUUACCUGUCCGUAUUACCACCUGUCUGCCUCUCUUUUAUUGACUUUUACAUCCUUCCUACGACUUAAACUUUUUCCUAUGACUUUCCUCUUUCCUACGACUUGAACUCCUUUCUUCCUACGACUUAAACGCAUUCCUACGACUUGAACUUUUUCCCUACGACUUUCCUCCUUCCUACGACUUCAACUCCCUCCUUCCUGCGACUUGAACUCUUUCCUGCCCACGACUUAAACGCAUUCCUACGACUUUGUUAUGUUUAUGCUGUUUAUUUUAUCAUAUUUCUCUAUCUGUUGACAUUUUUAUCAUCAUCACAUGGGUCAUAUUUAUCUCAUAUUUAUUUCUUCGUUAUCAUAUUUAUCUUUCUUUCCUUAUAUAUGUGUUCGUGAAGGUAUUAUGUACUCUAUUAUUUAAUUUAUACACAUAUGAGUUAAGUAGGAAGUGUCUGUAUUUAAGUACUACAAGUCUCUCUCACUCUCAAUCGUUUUCUCUAAUGUCUGAGUUUUUACAUGAGUCACCCUUGAAAACAUAAACAAACAAGGGCAUUAGAUAGCAAACAUGAGGUAAUUGUACUGUAUUUUCAACCCUGUGUGGCUGGGAGGCGAUCACUAAGUCUCUCUCACUCUCAAUCGUGUUCUCUUAUGUCUGAGUUUUUACAUGAGUCACCCUUGAAAACAUAAACACACAAGGGCAUUAGAUAGCAAACAUGAGGUAACUGUACUGUAUUUUCAACCCUGUGUGGCUGAGAGGCGAUCACUAAGUCUCUCUCACUCUCAAUCGUGUUCUCUUAUGUCUGAGUUUUUACAUGAGUCACCCUUGAAAACAUACACAAACAAGGGCAUUAGAUAGCAAACAUGAGGUAACUGUACUGUAUUUUCAACCCUGUGUGGCUGGGAGGCGAUCACUAAGUCUCUCUCACUCUCAAUCGUGUUCUCUAAUGUCUGAGUUUUUACAUGAGUCACCCUUGAAAACAUACACAAACAAGGGCAUUAGAUAGCAAACAUGAGGUAACUGUACUGUAUUUUCAACCCUGUGUGGCUGGGAGGCGAUCACUAAGUCUCUCUCACUCUCAAUCGUGUUCUCUUAUGUCUGAGUUUUUACAUGAGUCAGCCUUGAAAACAUACACAAACAAGGGCAUUAGAUAGCAAACAAGGGGUAACUGUACUGUAUUUUCAACCCUGUGUGGCUGAGAGGCGAUCACUAAGUUGUGUUCAUCUGUUACCCUCGACGGAAAACAUAUAUUGAAGGGCAUUAAUAAACAAAUGACAUGU